CCUACGGGUGGCAGCAGUGGGGAAUAUUGCGCAAUGGGCGAAAGCCUGACGCAGCGACGCCGCGUGAGGGAGGACGGCCCUACGGGUUGUAAACCUCUUUUGCCGGGGAGCAACGGGCGCCACGUGUGGCGUCACUGAGAGUACCCGGAGAAAAAGCAUCGGCUAACUCCGUGCCAGCAGCCGCGGUAAUACGGAGGAUGCGAGCGUUAUCCGGAUUUAUUGGGUUUAAAGGGUGCGUAGGCGGAUCGUUAAGUCAGUGGUCAAAUUGAGGGGCUCAACCCCUUCCCGCCAUUGAAACUGGCGUUCUUGAGUGGAAGAGAAGUAUGCGGAAUGCGUGGUGUAGCGGUGAAAUGCAUAGAUAUCACGCAGAACCCCGAUUGCGAAGGCAGCAUGCCGGCUUCCGACUGACGCUGAAGCACGAAAGCGUGGGGAUCGAACAGGAUUAGAUACCCGAGUAGUC
rnacentral:rRNA from 1 species